GUAAUAAUCCUGUAGUCGAAAAUGUUGUCUCUCUUGAGUGGAUCCUGAGUACGACGGAGCACGUGAAAUUCCGUCGGAAUCUGGGAGGACCAUCUCCUAAGGCUAAAUACUCUCUAGUGACCGAUAGUGAACCAGUACCGUGAGGGAAAGGUGAAAAGCACCCCGGAAGGGGAGUGAAAUAGAACCUGAAACCGUGUGCUUACAAGUAGUCAGAGCCCGUUAAUGGGUGAUGGCGUGCCUUUUGUAGAAUGAACCGGCGAGUUACGAUUUGAUGCAAGGUUAAGCAGUAAAUGUGGAGCCGUAGCGAAAGCGAGUCUGAAUAGGGCGUUUAGUAUUUGGUCGUAGACCCGAAACCAGGUGAUCUACCCUUGGUCAGGUUGAAGUUCAGGUAACACUGAAUGGAGGACCGAACCGACUUACGUUGAAAAGUGAGCGGAUGAACUGAGGGUAGCGGAGAAAUUCCAAUCGAACCUGGAGAUAGCUGGUUCUCUCCGAAAUAGCUUUAGGGCUAGCCUCAAGUGAUGAUUAUUGGAGGUAGAGCACUGUUUGGACGAGGGGCCCCUCUCGGGUUACCGAAUUCAGACAAACUCCGAAUGCCAAUUAAUUUAACUUGGGAGUCAGAACAUGGGUGAUAAGGUCCGUGUUCGAAAGGGAAACAGCCCAGACCACCAGCUAAGGUCCCAAAAUAUAUGUUAAGUGGAAAAGGAUGUGGCGUUGCCCAGACAACUAGGAUGUUGGCUUAGAAGCAGCCAUCAUUUAAAGAGUGCGUAAUAGCUCACUAGUCGAGUGACACUGCGCCGAAAAUGUACCGGGGCUAAACAUAUUACCGAAGCUGUGGAUUGUCCUUUGGACAAUGGUAGGAGAGCGUUCUAAGGGCGUUGAAGCAUGAUCGUAAGGACAUGUGGAGCGCUUAGAAGUGAGAAUGCCGGUGUGAGUAGCGAAAGACGGGUGAGAAUCCCGUCCACCGAUUGACUAAGGUUUCCAGAGGAAGGCUCGUCCGCUCUGGGUUAGUCGGGUCCUAAGCUGAGGCCGACAGGCGUAGGCGAUGGAUAACAGGUUGAUAUUCCUGUACCACCUAUAAUCGUUUUAAUCGAUGGGGGGACGCAGUAGGAUAGGCGAAGCGUGCGAUUGGAUUGCACGUCUAAGCAGUAAGGCUGAGUAUUAGGCAAAUCCGGUACUCGUUAAGGCUGAGCUGUGAUGGGGAGAAGACAUUGAGUCUUCGAGUCGUUGAUUUCACACUGCCGAGAAAAGCCUCUAGAUAGAAAAUAGGUGCCCGUACCGCAAACCGACACAGGUAGUCAAGAUGAGAAUUCUAAGGUGAGCGAGCGAACUCUCGUUAAGGAACUCGGCAAAAUGACCCCGUAACUUCGGGAGAAGGGGUGCUCUUUAGGGUUAACGCCCAGAAGAGCCGCAGUGAAUAGGCCCAAGCGACUGUUUAUCAAAAACACAGGUCUCUGCUAAACCGUAAGGUGAUGUAUAGGGGCUGACGCCUGCCCGGUGCUGGAAGGUUAAGAGGAGUGGUUAGCUUCUGCGAAGCUACGAAUCGAAGCCCCAGUAAACGGCGGCCGUAACUAUAACGGUCCUAAGGUAGCGAAAUUCCUUGUCGGGUAAGUUCCGACCCGCACGAAAGGCGUAACGAUUUGGGCACUGUCUCAACGAGAGACUCGGUGAAAUCAUAGUACCUGUGAAGAUGCAGGUUACCCGCGACAGGACGGAAAGACCCCGUGGAGCUUUACUGUAGCCUGAUAUUGAAAUUCGGCACAGCUUGUACAGGAUAGGUAGGAGCCUUUGAAACGUGAGCGCUAGCUUACGUGGAGGCGCUGGUGGGAUACUACCCUAGCUGUGUUGGCUUUCUAACCCGCACCACUUAUCGUGGUGGGAGACAGUGUCAGGCGGGCAGUUUGACUGGGGCGGUCGCCUCCUAAAAGGUAACGGAGGCGCUCAAAGGUUCCCUCAGAAUGGUUGGAAAUCAUUCAUAGAGUGUAAAGGCAUAAGGGAGCUUGACUGCGAGACCUACAAGUCGAGCAGGGUCGAAAGACGGACUUAGUGAUCCGGUGGUUCCGCAUGGAAGGGCCAUCGCUCAACGGAUAAAAGCUACCCCGGGGAUAACAGGCUUAUCUCCCCCAAGAGUUCACAUCGACGGGGAGGUUUGGCACCUCGAUGUCGGCUCAUCGCAUCCUGGGGCUGUAGUCGGUCCCAAGGGUUGGGCUGUUCGCCCAUUAAAGCGGUACGCGAGCUGGGUUCAGAACGUCGUGAGACAGUUCGGUCCCUAUCCGUCGUGGGCGUAGGAAAUUUGAGAGGAGCUGUCCUUAGUACGAGAGGACCGGGAUGGACAUACCUCUGGUGUACCAGUUGUCGUGCCAACGGCAUAGCUGGGUAGCUAUGUGUGGACGGGAUAAGUGCUGAAAGCAUCUAAGCAUGAAGCCCCCCUCAAGAUGAGAUUUCCCAACUUCGGUUAUAAGAUCCCUCAAAGAUGAUGAGGUUAAUAGGUUCGAGGUGGAAGCAUGGUGACAUGUGGAGCUGACGAAUACUAAUCGAUCGAAGACUUAAUCAA
rnacentral:rRNA from 1 species